ACGCUUUUCGGAGUGUAAACACCUUUUAUGAGGGAAGAAAAUCUGACGGUACCUCAUGAAUAAGGACCGGCUAAUUACGUGCCAGCAGCCGCGGUAAUACGUAAGGUCCAAGCGUUAACCGGAAUUAUUGGGCGUAAAGCGUCCGCAGGCGGUUUAUCAAGUUGAUUAUGAAAUACCGACGCUCAACGUCGGUGCUGUAGUCAAAACUGGUAAACUAGAGAUAUGGAGAGGUGCGUGGAAUUGUGCAAGUAGGGGUAAAAUCCGUAGAUAUGCACAGGAACACCAAAAGCGAAGGCAGCGCACUGGCCAUUAUCUGACGCUCAGGGACGAAAGCGUGGGGAGCGAAAGGGAUUAGAUACCCCUGUAGUC
rnacentral:rRNA from 1 species